GACAGAGGAUGCAAGCGUUAUCCGGAAUGAUUGGGCGUAAAGCGUCUGUAGGUGGCUUAAAAAGUCUUCUGUCAAAGAUCAGGGCUUAACCCUGGGCCGGCAGGAGAAACUCUUAGGCUAGAGUUUGGUAGGGGCAGAGGGAAGUCCCGGUGGAGCGGUGAAAUGCGUAGAGAUCGGGAGGAACACCAAAGGCGAAAGCACUCUGCUGGGCCACAACUGACACUGAGAGACGAAAGCGAGGGGAGCAAAAGGG
rnacentral:rRNA from 1 species